CGGCCGCGGUACCCUGACCGUGCAAAGGUAGCAUAAUCACUUGCCCCUUAAAUAGGGACUUGUAUCAACGGCAUCACGAGGGUUAUACUGUCUCCCCCCUCUAAUCAGUGAAACUGACCUCCCCGUGAAGAGGCGGGGAUACAAUUACAAGACGAGAAGACCCCAUGGAGCUUUAAACCCAAUAACAACCUUCACUUAAAUACUCCCAUACAAAUAUAAAGCAAUGUAUAUUGGUUUUAGGUUGGGGUGACCACGGAGCAAAACUAAACCUCCAUGACGAAUGGAAAUUCAUCCUAAUCCACGAGCUGCCACUCUAAGAAUCAAAAUUUGACGUAAUAUGAUCCGGCAACCGAUCAACGAACCAAGUUACCCUGGGGAUAACAGCGCAAUCCAUUUCAAGAGCCCCUAUCGACAAAUGGGUUUACGACCUCGAUGUUGGAUCAGGGUAUCCCAGUGGUGCAGCCGCUACUAAAGGUUUGUUUGUUCAACAAUUAAAACCCUACGUGAUCUGAGUUCAGACCGGA
rnacentral:rRNA from 1 species